AUUUAGGUAGUUUAAUUAAAAUUUUGGAUUGUGGAUUCAAAGAUAUAAAAAAUUUAUUCUAGAUA
rnacentral:tRNA from 1 species